rnacentral:rRNA from 1 species
AAUAUGAUACAGUCUCUAAGAG